rnacentral:rRNA from 1 species
UUCAUAUCAAAAAGCGGAGGAAAAGAAACCAACAGGGAUUGCCUCAGUAACGGCGAGUGAAGCGGCAAAAGCUCAAAUUUGAAACCCUCGGGAUUGUAAUUUGAAGAUUUGGCAUUGGAGAAAGCUAACCCAAGUUGCUUGGAAUAGUACGUCAUAGAGGGUGACAACCCCGUCUGGCUAACCGUUCUCCAUGUAUUGCCUUAUCAAAGAGUCGAGUUGUUUGGGAAUGCAGCUCAAAGUGGGUGGUAAACUCCAUCUAAAGCUAAAUACUGGUGAGAGACCGAUAGCGAACAAGUACUGUGAAGGAAAGGUGAAAAGAACUUUGAAAAGAGAGUGAAAUAGUAUGUGAAAUUGUUGAUAGGGAAGGAAAUGAGUGGAGAGUGGCCGAGGUUUCAGCCGCCCCUCGUGGGCGGUGUACUGCCGACGCCGAGUCAUCGAUAGCGAGACGAGGGUUACAAAUGGGAGCGCCUUUCGGGCGUUCUCCCCUAACCCUCCCACACUGCCACCGACGACAUAAUCCCACCCAUUUCACCCGUCUUGAAA